rnacentral:tRNA from 1 species
GCAUUAGUGGUCUAGUGGUAUGAUGUCACCCUCCCAAGGUGGCGACCCGGGUUCGAUUCCCGGCUAAUGCA